rnacentral:rRNA from 1 species
AACGACCGCGGGCGGCGUGCUUAACACAUGCAAGUCGAACGAGAAGUACGGGUAGCAAUACCUGUAUUGUAAAGUGGCGCACGGGUGAGUAACACGUGGGUAAUCUGCCCUCGAGUUUGGGAUAACCCCGCGAAAGCGGGGCUAAUACCGAAUAAGACCACGGGGACCAAAGUCCCUGAGGUAAAAGAUGGCCUCUAUUUAUAAGCUAUCACUUGAGGAUGAGCCCGCGGCCCAUUAGCUAGUUGGUAGGGUAACGGCCUACCAAGGCUAUGAUGGGUAGCUGGUCUGAGAGGACGAUCAGCCACACUGGAACUGAGACACGGUCCAGACUCCUACGGGAGGCAGCAGUGGGGAAUAUUGCGCAAUGGGCGAAAGCCUGACGCAGCAACGCCGCGUGGGGGAUGAAGGUUUUCGGAUUGUAAACCCCUUUCGACCGGAACGAAUCUCCUCCUGGUAAAUAAUCAGGAGGAUCGACGGUACCGGGAGAAGAAGCCACGGCUAACUCUGUGCCAGCAGCCGCGGUAAGACAGAGGUGGCGAGCGUUGUUCGGAUUUAUUGGGCGUAAAGCGAACGCAGGUGGUUUGGUAAGUCAGGGGUGAAAGCCCACAGCUUAACUGUGGCACUGCCUUUGAUACUGCCUUUCUUGAGUGCAUGAGGGGGAAGCGGAAUUCCGAGUGUAGAGGUGAAAUUCGUAGAUAUUCGGAGGAACACCGGUGGCGAAGGCGGCUUCCUGGCAUGUAACUGACACUCAUGUUCGAAAGCGUGGGUAGCAACCAGGAUUAGAUACCCUGGUAGUCCACGCCCUAAACGAUGGGCACUAGGUGUGGGAGGUAUCGACCCCUUCCGUGCCGCAGCUAACGCAUUAAGUGCCCCGCCUGGGGAGUACGGCCG